rnacentral:rRNA from 1 species
GUCGAACGGAAAGGCCCUUCGGGGUACUCGAGUGGCGAACGGGUGAGUAACACGUGGGUGAUCUGCCCUGCACUUUGGGAUAAGCCUGGGAAACUGGGUCUAAUACCGAAUAUGACCGCGCACUUCCUGGUGUGUGGUGGAAAGCUUUUGCGGUGUGGGAUGGGCCCGCGGCCUAUCAGCUUGUUGGUGGGGUAAUGGCCUACCAAGGCGACGACGGGUAGCCGGCCUGAGAGGGUGACCGGCCACACUGGGACUGAGAUACGGCCCAGACUCCUACGGGAGGCAGCAGUGGGGAAUAUUGCACAAUGGGCGCAAGCCUGAUGCAGCGACGCCGCGUGAGGGAUGACGGCCUUCGGGUUGUAAACCUCUUUCAAUAGGGACGAAGCGCAAGUGACGGUACCUAUAGAAGAAGGACCGGCCAACUACGUGCCAGCAGCCGCGGUAAUACGUAGGGUCCGAGCGUUGUCCGGAAUUACUGGGCGUAAAGAGCUCGUAGGUGGUUUGUCGCGUUGUUCGUGAAAACUCACAGCUUAACUGUGGGCGUGCGGGCGAUACGGGCAGACUAGAGUACUGCAGGGGAGACUGGAAUUCCUGGUGUAGCGGUGGAAUGCGCAGAUAUCAGGAGGAACACCGGUGGCGAAGGCGGGUCUCUGGGCAGUAACUGACGCUGAGGAGCGAAAGCGUGGGGAGCGAACAGGAUUAGAUACCCUGGUAGUCCACGCCGUAAACGGUGGGUACUAGGUGUGGGUUUCCUUCCUUGGGAUCCGUGCCGUAGCUAACGCAUUAAGUACCCCGCCUGGGGAGUACGGCCGCAAGGCUAAAACUCAAAGAAAUUGACGGGGGCCCGCACAAGCGGCGGAGCAUGUGGAUUAAUUCGAUGCAACGCGAAGAACCUUACCUGGGUUUGACAUGCACAGGACGCCAGUAGAGAUAUUGGUUCCCUUGUGGCCUGUGUGCAGGUGGUGCAUGGCUGUCGUCAGCUCGUGUCGUGAGAUGUUGGGUUAAGUCCCGCAACGAGCGCAACCCUUGUCUCAUGUUGCCAGCACGUAAUG